rnacentral:rRNA from 1 species
GGGUUGUGAGGUUAAGCGACUAAGCGUACACGGUGGAUGCCCUGGCAGUCAGAGGCGAUGAAGGACGUGCUAAUCUGCGAUAAGCGUCGGUAAGGUGAUAUGAACCGUUAUAACCGGCGAUUUCCGAAUGGGGAAACCCAGUGUGUUUCGACACACUAUCAUUAACUGAAUCCAUAGGUUAAUGAGGCGAACCGGGGGAACUGAAACAUCUAAGUACCCCGAGGAAAAGAAAUCAACCGAGAUUCCCCCAGUAGCGGCGAGCGAACGGGGAGCAGCCCAGAGCCUGAAUCAGUGUGUGUGUUAGUGGAAGCGUCUGGAAAGGCGCGCGAUACAGGGUGACAGCCCCGUACACAAAAAUGCACAUGCUGUGAGCUCGAUGAGUAGGGCGGGACACGUGGUAUCCUGUCUGAAUAUGGGGGGACCAUCCUCCAAGGCUAAAUACUCCUGACUGACCGAUAGUGAACCAGUACCGUGAGGGAAAGGCGAAAAGAACCCCGGCGAGGGGAGUGAAAAAGAACCUGAAACCGUGUACGUACAAGCAGUGGGAGCACGCUUAGGCGUGUGACUGCGUACCUUUUGUAUAAUGGGUCAGCGACUUAUAUUCUGUAGCAAGGUUAACCGAAUAGGGGAGCCGAAGGGAAACCGAGUCUUAACUGGGCGUUAAGUUGCAGGGUAUAGACCCGAAACCCGGUGAUCUAGCCAUGGGCAGGUUGAAGGUUGGGUAACACUAACUGGAGGACCGAACCGACUAAUGUUGAAAAAUUAGCGGAUGACUUGUGGCUGGGGGUGAAAGGCCAAUCAAACCGGGAGAUAGCUGGUUCUCCCCGAAAGCUAUUUAGGUAGCGCCUCGUGAAUUCAUCUCCGGGGGUAGAGCACUGUUUCGGCAAGGGGGUCAUCCCGACUUACCAACCCGAUGCAAACUGCGAAUACCGGAGAAUGUUAUCACGGGAGACACACGGCGGGUGCUAACGUCCGUCGUGAAGAGGGAAACAACCCAGACCGCCAGCUAAGGUCCCAAAGUCAUGGUUAAGUGGGAAACGAUGUGGGAAGGCCCAGACAGCCAGGAUGUUGGCUUAGAAGCAGCCAUCAUUUAAAGAAAGCGUAAUAGCUCACUGGUCGAGUCGGCCUGCGCGGAAGAUGUAACGGGGCUAAACCAUGCACCGAAGCUGCGGCAGCGACGCUUAUGCGUUGUUGGGUAGGGGAGCGUUCUGUAAGCCUGCGAAGGUGUGCUGUGAGGCAUGCUGGAGGUAUCAGAAGUGCGAAUGCUGACAUAAGUAACGAUAAAGCGGGUGAAAAGCCCGCUCGCCGGAAGACCAAGGGUUCCUGUCCAACGUUAAUCGGGGCAGGGUGAGUCGACCCCUAAGGCGAGGCCGAAAGGCGUAGUCGAUGGGAAACAGGUUAAUAUUCCUGUACUUGGUGUUACUGCGAAGGGGGGACGGAGAAGGCUAUGUUGGCCGGGCGACGGUUGUCCCGGUUUAAGCGUGUAGGCUGGUUUUCCAGGCAAAUCCGGAAAAUCAAGGCUGAGGCGUGAUGACGAGGCACUACGGUGCUGAAGCAACAAAUGCCCUGCUUCCAGGAAAAGCCUCUAAGCAUCAGGUAACAUCAAAUCGUACCCCAAACCGACACAGGUGGUCAGGUAGAGAAUACCAAGGCGCUUGAGAGAACUCGGGUGAAGGAACUAGGCAAAAUGGUGCCGUAACUUCGGGAGAAGGCACGCUGAUAUGUAGGUGAAGUCCCUCGCGGAUGGAGCUGAAAUCAGUCGAAGAUACCAGCUGGCUGCAACUGUUUAUUAAAAACACAGCACUGUGCAAACACGAAAGUGGACGUAUACGGUGUGACGCCUGCCCGGUGCCGGAAGGUUAAUUGAUGGGGUCAGCGCAAGCGAAGCUCUUGAUCGAAGCCCCGGUAAACGGCGGCCGUAACUAUAACGGUCCUAAGGUAGCGAAAUUCCUUGUCGGGUAAGUUCCGACCUGCACGAAUGGCGUAAUGAUGGCCAGGCUGUCUCCACCCGAGACUCAGUGAAAUUGAACUCGCUGUGAAGAUGCAGUGUACCCGCGGCAAGACGGAAAGACCCCGUGAACCUUUACUAUAGCUUGACACUGAACAUUGAGCCUUGAUGUGUAGGAUAGGUGGGAGGCUUAGAAGUGUGGACGCCAGUCUGCAUGGAGCCGACCUUGAAAUACCACCCUUUAAUGUUUGAUGUUCUAACGUUGACCCGUAAUCCGGGUUGCGGACAGUGUCUGGUGGGUAGUUUGACUGGGGCGGUCUCCUCCUAAAGAGUAACGGAGGAGCACGAAGGUUGGCUAAUCCUGGUCGGACAUCAGGAGGUUAGUGCAAUGGCAUAAGCCAGCUUGACUGCGAGCGUGACGGCGCGAGCAGGUGCGAAAGCAGGUCAUAGUGAUCCGGUGGUUCUGAAUGGAAGGGCCAUCGCUCAACGGAUAAAAGGUACUCCGGGGAUAACAGGCUGAUACCGCCCAAGAGUUCAUAUCGACGGCGGUGUUUGGCACCUCGAUGUCGGCUCAUCACAUCCUGGGGCUGAAGUAGGUCCCAAGGGUAUGGCUGUUCGCCAUUUAAAGUGGUACGCGAGCUGGGUUUAGAACGUCGUGAGACAGUUCGGUCCCUAUCUGCCGUGGGCGCUGGAGAACUGAGGGGGGCUGCUCCUAGUACGAGAGGACCGGAGUGGACGCAUCACUGGUGUUCGGGUUGUCAUGCCAAUGGCACUGCCCGGUAGCUAAAUGCGGAAGAGAUAAGUGCUGAAAGCAUCUAAGCACGAAACUUGCCCCGAGAUGAGUUCUCCCUGACCCUUUAAGGGUCCUGAAGGAACGUUGAAGACGACGACGUUGAUAGGCCGGGUGUGUAAGCGCAGCGAUGCGUUGAGCUAACCGGUACUAAUGAACCGUGAGGCUUAACCUUACAACGCCGAAGGUGUUU